rnacentral:rRNA from 1 species
AUACGUAGGAUCCGAGCGUUGUCCGGAUUUACUGGGCGUAAAGGGUGCGUAGGCGGUCUGUUAAGUCUCAUGUGAAAUCUCCCGGCUCAACUGGGAGGGGUCAUGGGAUACUGGCAGGCUUGAGGGCAGUAGAGGAGAGCGGAAUUCCGGGAGUAGCGGUGAUAUGCGUAGAUACCCGGAGGAACACCAGAGGCGAAAGCGGCUCUCUGGGCUGUCCCUGACGCUGAGGCACGAAAGCGUGGGGAGCAAACCGGAUUAGAUACCCGAGUAGUCC